AGUGAAGCGCUCUUUCAUCAGUCUAUCACACUUCUAAGCGAAGAACCACGAAUGAGGUAGAGACAAGGAAACAAAAGAUCGAAGCCUUCUUCUGGCAUUUCGAAACUUGAAAAUAUAACUGGAAGAACAGUUAUAUUCAUACUAUCUAGUCAUUGAAAUCAGUAUAAGCCAAUACUAUAAAGAUGUUGAUUGGUGGUUCAGUUAGUUACGUAGCCGGAAAGCAGGCAGUCCGUACGGUUUAUUGGAGAACCGCAAAUAAUGGUCGUCUUUUAAAAACUGCCAAAACCUGUAUGUUCCAAGGACCACCGAAGCCAGCACCAUCCUCAACUUCUGCAGCUGUUCCUGACCGUUCUCGUAUGGAUCUGAUUCCACGAGUUAUCUUAAACUCGCAAAACUAAAUUAAUCGACUUGCAUCAAGCAUGCACGUCUAUUCAACAAGCAUCAUCGAUACGAUGCAACUUGUACAUAAUUAAUAUUUAAUUAAGUCUAAACGUUAUUAUACCUACAUAUUUUAUGAAUAUCGUAGCAUGACAAUCGAAUAAACAAAUUAUUUAUUAACAA